GGCUGCACCCACAGCAUAUGGAAAUUCCCAGGCUAGGGACUGAACUGGAGCUGUAGCUGCCAGCCUACACCACAGCUCACAGCAACACAGGAUCCCCGACCUACUCAGCAAGGCCAGGGAUCAAACCUGCAUCCUCAUGAAUACUAGUUGGAUUCAUUUCCGCUGAGCCACAACAGGAACCCCUACUUGGUGAAAUUUUUGUUUUUUAAUAGUAUGUGUGUACAGACAGACACAUAUGCACCUACACAGAUAUAUUUAUAUCUGUACACACCCAAAGCUUUUUAUGCAGAUCUUGACUCUACUAUGUUUGCUGAACAUUAAGCAGGAAGAACUCUCUGUGGGAUAAUUAAUUUACCUGCAAGUUUGAACAUUCAGGGAAUAGAAAACGUGCUCAUGAAUGCUACCUGCCUGGGUUUUAUCAAUGCUGAUGAGCAUGCAAUUCUGGACAGGCAUGUGGAAGAUUUCCCACCAAACCUCCUGAGGAGUGUGCUCAGGCCAAGGAAGGCCAAACCCUUUGCUGCUUCCUUCACUGUGUGUGGAGGUGGGGAGGGUGGUGAAGAUGGCCCUUUGCAAAUACAACAGCUGCUCUGGGCCCGCAGUAGGUCCCCAUUCCCUUCAGAACAAGGUGCAAUUAGCUGGAUUUGCUCUGACCACCACUGAGGCAAGUUCCAGCAAGAGUAAAAUCGUGGUGACAUCAUACAAAGACCAAAGCAAAAGGCUCCAGUCUUUUCCUAAAAAGUAUCUUCUGGAAGGGGAGCUUUCCAAUUGCUUUUAGAGUUUAUGAUAUAAUAGACAAAAUCUCCAUUCCCUUUGCUCAGAGAUUUUUGGUAAUCUCUCUGUAGACUUAAUUUCACUUCCCAUCCUCUACCUGACCUUUGGCAGAAAACAUUUGACAUGUGUGUCCUGAACCUAAUUUCGGAACAGUAAUGUUUUGUACUUUCCUCAUUGUAGUGUCCUGAGAAAACAAUCCAGGUCAUAUAGCCUCCAGCUGAAGCAUAGUUUUGAUCACUCUCCAGUGCCAUGAAACAAUUUUAUAGUUGUUAUUUUAAUUUAUAUUUUUUUCCAGAGCUUACAGUCGUUCUUAGGAAAAAAAAUUUACAGAUAGAUACAUAGAUAUAAAUAUACAUAUAUACACACAAGCUACUCUGUAUAUACUAUAUAUACUAUUUACUCUGUAUAUGGUAUAUACAAACUAUAUAAUAUGUUUAUGUUUCUGAUAUUAGAAAGAUCUUUGUAAUAAAUCCUAUCAAAAAAAAAAACAAAAACAAAAACAAAAACAACCACCUAAGUGAGCUUUCCUGUGUACACAAAGGGAACUCAGUUUUAGCAAGUGCUGGAAUAGGAGACAGCGCCCCCUGGAGGAAGAUGGUGAAACAAAGCUGGCAGAGGAAUGGAUACCACCACAGGAUAGUUGGUGAGUUAGGUGGUGGUUCCAGGAUCCCCUUCACUUGUGUCCUUUUGAUGUCCCCAACGGUAAACUGGGUACUCUCACUUCUGCCAUCCUGUUCCACUUCUUAUGCUUGGAAGUGCAGGUCAGAGGUCCGUCACACUUUCCUCCUCAGGAACUACUUUUGAUUUAUCUGAAAUUUUUUGUUUUCGUAUUUGACUUUUUUUUUUUUUUAAGGCCGCACCCCCGGCACCUGGAGGUUCCCAGACUAGGGGCAGAAUUGGAGCUGUAGUUGCUGGCCACAGCCACAGGCCACAGCAAUGACAGAUUCUAGCCACAUCUGCGACUUAUACCACAGCUCACCACAAUGCCGGAUUCCCAACCCACUGAGCAAGGCCAGGGAUCGAACAUGUGUCCUCAUAGAUCCUAGUCAGAUUCGCUUCCACUGUGGCACGAUGGGGACUCCCAUAUUUGGCAUUUUUAAGAUAAGUGAGAAGUAACAUCAGUAGGAAUGCCAAAAUUACAGAAUAUCAGGAAGUUGAUUAAAGUUAAUCAUGAAGUUUGUGUUGUGGCUCAAUGGUAACAAACACGACUAGGAUCCAUGAGGAUGGGGGUUUGAUUCAUGGCCUUGUUCAGUGGUUUAAGGAUCCAGAAUUGCCGUGAUCUGCAGCAUAGGUCACAGAUGCAGGUCAAAUCUGGUGUUGCUGUGGCUGUGGCAUAGGCCGGCAGCUAUGGCUCCUAUUCAACCCUGGCCUGAGGACUUCCAUAUGCUGUGGGUACAGCUCUAAAAAGACAAAAUAUAAAAAUAAAAUAAAAAAUAAAUUAUGCUAGGUGAGAUGGAAACAGUGGUUAAUGCUUUCCUUUUUUUCCAGAAAAAACUCAGAUGUCUUGGGGUUUCCCAGUCCUCCUAGGCUGGGCAGGGUGACCAGACCAGUCUUUGGCUCACAAGUCUAUAGCAUUUGGGUCACAAUUAUCUAAUAUCUAGCCAACUGAAUACUUAGAGAAUACAUUGCUGCUAUUUUAAUUGAUAUCUUUCUGGUUUCCAAUUAUUUUCACAGUGUAAUUCGUUUAUGGCCAACUCUUAUUCUCUGUGUAAUGUGGAGGUUGGUGCCAACUUUCUUGCCUUUUAGAAACUUCCCUGAGAUCAUUACAUUGUUGUUGUUUUUUUUUCCUUUUCCUUAAUAUAUACAACCCAGAAAUUCUAUUAAGUAUCUACCC
rnacentral:lncRNA from 1 species